rnacentral:rRNA from 1 species
UUCCGGUUGAUCCUGCCGGAGGCCAUUGCUAUCGGAGUCCGAUUUAGCCAUGCUAGUUGUGCGGGUUCAGACCCGCGGCAGAUAGCUCAGUAACACGUGGCCAAACUACCCUAUGGACGGGAAUAACCUCGGGAAACUGAGGCUAAUCCCCGAUACAGCUCUCAGACUGGAGUGUCGAGAGCUGGAAACGCUCCGGCGCCAUAGGAUGUGGCUGCGGCCGAUUAGGUAGACGGUGGGGUAACGGCCCACCGUGCCGAUAAUCGGUACGGGUUGUGAGAGCAAGAGCCCGGAGACGGUAUCUGAGACAAGAUACCGGGCCCUACGGGGCGCAGCAGGCGCGAAACCUUUACACUGCACGACAGUGCGAUAGGGGGACUCCGAGUGCGAGGGCAUAUAGUCCUCGCUUUUCUGUACCGUAAGGAGGUACAGGAACAAGUGCUGGGCAAGACCGGUGCCAGCCGCCGCGGUAAUACCGGCAGCACGAGUGAUGGCCGCUAUUAUUGGGCCUAAAGCGUCCGUAGCCGGCCAGUCAAGUCUGUUGGGAAAUCGACGCGCUCAACGCGUCGGCGUCCAGCGGAAACUGACUGGCUUGGGGCCGGAAGACCUGAGGGGUACGUCUAGGGUAGGAGUGAAAUCCUGUAAUCCUGGACGGACCGCCGGUGGCGAAAGCGCCUCAGGAAGACGGACCCGACGGUGAGGGACGAAAGCUAGGGUCUCGAACCGGAUUAGAUACCCGGGUAGUCCUAGCCGUAAACGAUGCUCGCUAGGUGUGCCGCAGGCUACGAGCCUGCGCUGUGCCGUAGGGAAGCCGAGAAGCGAGCCGCCUGGGAAGUACGUCUGCAAGGAUGAAACUUAAAGGAAUUGGCGGGGGAGCACUACAACCGGAGGAGCCUGCGGUUUAAUUGGAUUCAACGCCGGG